GGAACGCGGCGGGCGCUUAUGCUGCAAGUCGAGCGAAGCUUUCAGUAGUUUACUACAGACAAAUGACCUGAGCGGCGAACGGGUGAGUAACGCGUGAGCAAUCUACCUUAGUUACAGGGAUAGCCCGAGGAAACUCGGAUUAAUACCUGAUAUUCUUUAUUUCUCGCAUGAGAAUAAAAGGAAAGGUCAGCCGAACUAAGAUGAGCUCGCGUUCUAUCAGCUAGUUGGUGAGGUAAAAGCUCACCAAGGCUACGACGGAUAGCUGGUCUGAGAGGACGAUCAGCCACACUGGGACUGAGACACGGCCCAGACUCCUACGGGAGGCUGCAGCAGGGAAUAUUGCGCAAUGAGCGAAAGCUUGACGCAGCGACACCGCGUGUGGGAUGACGGAUCUAGGUUUGUAAACCACUUUCAGGAGGGAAGAAAAUGACGGUACCUCCACAAGAAGCCCCGGCCAACUACGUGCCAGCAGCCGCGGUAAUACGUAGGGGGCGAGCGUUGUCCGGAUUUAUUGGGCGUAAAGAGCUCGUAGGCGGUUCAACAAGUCGGUCGUGAAAGUUCAGGGCUCAACCCUGAAAUGUCGAUCGAUACUGUUGUGACUAGGAUACGGUAGAGGUGAGUGGAAUUCCGAGUGUAGCGGUGAAAUGCGUAGAUAUUCGGAGGAACACCAAUAGCGAAGGCAGAUCACUGGGCCGUUAUCGACGCUUAUGAGCGAAAGCUAGGGGAGCAAACGGAUUAGAUACCUGUAUCCUGCUGUUACGAUGG
rnacentral:rRNA from 1 species